UACAGAGGGGGCAAGCGUUAUUCGGAAUUAUUGGGCGUAAAGGGCGCGUAGGAGGUUUCUUAAGUCAGAUGUGUAAUCCCCGAGCUUAAAUUGGGAACUGCAUCUGAGACUGGGAGGCUAGAGUACUGGAGAGGGUGGUGGAAUUCCUCGUGUAGCGGUGAAAUGCGUAGAGAUGAGGAGGAACACCAGUGGCGAAGGCGGCCACCUGGACAGUAACUGACGCUGAGGCGCGAAAGUGUGUGUAGCAAACAGG
rnacentral:rRNA from 1 species